CAAAGCCUUGAUGCCAGCCGCCGCGGUAAUACCAGCUCUCCGAGUGGGUGGGGAUGUUUAUUGGGCCUAAAGCAUUCGUAGCCUGCUGGACAAGUCCUCCGUUAAAUCCAACGAUUCAAUCGUUGGGCCGCGGGGGGAUACUGUUCGGCUAGGGGGCGGAAGAGGUCGACGGUAUUCUCGGGGUAGGGGUGAAAUCCUAUAAUCCCGGGAGGACCACCAGUGGCGAAGGCUGUCGGCUAGAACGCGCCCGACGGUGAGGGAUGAAAGCUGGGGGAGCGAACCGGAUUAGAUACCCGGGUAGUCCCAGCCGUAAACGAUGCAGGCUAGGUGUUGGCGCGGCUACGUGCCGCUCCAGUGCCGCAGGGAAGCCGUUAAGCCUGCCGCCUGGGAAGUACGGCCGCAAGGCUGAAACUUAAAGGAAUUGGCGGGGGAGCACCACAAGGGGUGAAGCUUGCGGUUUAAUUGGAGUCAACGCCGGAAAUCUCACCGGGGGCGACAGCAGGUUGAAGGUCAGAUUGAAGGUCUUACCAGACAAGCUGAGAGGAGGUGCAUGGCCGUCGCCAGUUCGUGCCGUGAGGUGUCCUGUUAAGUCAGGCAACGAUCGAGACCCGCAUCCCCUGUUGCCACCGGCCAUGAGCCGAGCACACUGGGGAAACUGCCGCCGAUAAGGCGGAGGAAGGAGCGGGCCACGGCAGGUCAGUAUGCCCCGAAUCCCCCGGGCUACACGCGAGCUGCAAUGGCAGGUACAGAGGGUACCGACCCUGAAAAGGGAAGGAAAUCCCGAAAGCCUGCCGUAGUUGGGAUCGAAGGUUGUAACUCACCUUCGUGAACAUGGAAUCCCUAGUAACCGCGUGUCAUUAUCGCGCGGUGAAUACGUCCCUGCUCC
rnacentral:rRNA from 1 species